AAAGAAACUAACAAGGAUUCCCCUAGUAACGGCGAGUGAAGAGGGAAGAGCUCAAAUUUUAAAUCUGCCUUGUUUCAAGGUCGAGUUGUAAUUUGAAGAAGCGUUUUCUUGGGCUCGCGGCCGGCAUGCGUUCAUUUACAAUACCAUCUACGAUACGCUUUCAAAGAGUCGAGUUGUUUGGUAUUACAACUCCAAAUGGGUGGUAAAUAUCACCUAAGGCUAAAUAUUGGCGAGAGACCGAUAGCGAACAAGUACCGUGAGGGAAAGAUGAAAAGAACUUUGAAAAGAGAGUUAAACAGUACGUGAAAUUGUUGAAAGGGAAACGAUUGAAGUCAGUCGUGCUGGCGCGAAAUCAACCCUCUCGUCGAGAGGACACAUGGCGUGGCGAGCCUCAACCGUCACGAAGCGUGAACUCUUGGCGAAGAGGAGCACUUUCGUGUCCGCUGGUUAACAUCAAUUUCGAACGUCAUAAAAAGGCUGGAGGGAUGUGGCUCCUUCGGGAGUGUUAUAACCUUUAGCGGAAUGUGGUGGUCGGGAUUGAGGAUUGCAACGAAUACCUUUAGGGCUGUUCCACCUGGCCUCUCUUUGGUAUCCUGGUGACGACAGCUUGCUGACGUUGUUAGGAUUCGCCAUUGAACAGGCUAGAGUGUGAGCAAAUUCGUUAAGGAUGUGACGUA
rnacentral:rRNA from 1 species